GGUUACCGCUUCAGAGGCAGCGAACCGGGGGAAGCUUCACGUUCACGGACGUCCUGCAGGGAAGAGCCGCAAUUGUUGCUUCAUCGGAGAGCGAAUGGGAGGAAAUUCCUCUUUCUCAGUUAGAACGCACGCCGCCACCCCCACCCCCACCGUCCCCAUAAGAUGCGUUCAGUCAGCUGGACAGAGCUUUGAAUAAACUCUAAGGGCAGGAAGGGAGCGCACACUAUCAGGACCACCCAUCACAGCAAUACGCAGCAAGUCAAGACUUUAUCCCACACACACAUCGACACUGUGACGAGGGGGUGGCAUCGCAGCCAGAUCAGCAUCCGGUGACCAACGAUCAACACGCUGCGCUGCGCCGUCCCACCGCUGCUACACAGAGACCCGAACAGCCGUCGAUAACCAGCGACGAGGACUCCGCGCCACACCCUCCCCCCGCCGCCACACAGAGACCCGGUAAGUGAUCAGAAAUAAAGUGUUAAAUAAAGUUUUUAUUAAAAGAUGAUGAUUCGCUCAUACUCUCUCUAUUUAUCCAUCCAGAAUUACGUCGGAGGAGGAAUUGCCGGCUCACUCAUCUUCAAAGAACAAACUGAAUGAAAAUGGCGUAUCUUCUUCUUCAAAUCAGCUAUGGCCUCGUCAACAUCGUGGCAGAUGUUGUCUUUGUGAGGAUUAAAAGAGGACACUACAUUAACCUGUGAGGAUUAAAAGAGGACCGAGGAUUUUUUUUUUCAUUCAUCAAGUUUAUAGU
rnacentral:lncRNA from 1 species